rnacentral:tRNA from 1 species
GCCCCGGUAGCUUAGCCUGGUAGAGCGAUUGACUUGUAAUCAAUAGGUCGAGGGUUCAAAUCCCUCCCGGGGCU